rnacentral:tRNA from 1 species
UCCCUGGGGGUCCAGUGGUUAAGACUCUGUGAUUCCAACGCAGGGGGUACAGGUUCAAUUUCUGGUCGGGGAA